rnacentral:rRNA from 1 species
CCUACGGGUGGCAGCAGUGAGGAAUAUUGGUCAAUGGGCGGAAGCCUGAACCAGCCAAGUCGCGUGAGGGAUUAAGGCCCUAUGUGUCGUAACCCUCUUUUGUCAGGGAGCAAGGUCGUCCACGUGUGGGCGUAUGGAGAGCACCUGCAGAAAAAGCAUCGGCUAACUCCGUGCCAGCAGCCGCGGUAAUACGGAGGAUGCGAGGGUUAUCCGGAUUUAUUGGGUGAAAGGGGUGCGUAGGCGGGACCUUAGGUCGGCGGUAAAGUUGCGGUGCUCAACGCCGUAGAGCCGUUGAAACUGGAGCGCUUGAGUGAGCGAGAAGUAUGCGGAAUGCGUGGUGUAGCGGUGAAAUGCAGAGAUAUCACGCAGAACCCCGGUUGCGAAGGCAGCAUACCGGAGCGCAACUGACGUUGAGGCACGAAAGUGCGGGUAUCGAACAGGAUUAGAUACCCUUGUAGUC